CGGGGUGCCCGACGCGUCGAUUUCUCUACCAUGCUUGCGACUGCAAUCCGGGAGCGUCAAAUGAUACUCAUCUUGGGUGUCUGUCCUCCCAUCUAAAAUACAGGAGUUACCACGGGCCGGGCAAUACCGUGUGCCAGCCGCCGCGGUAAUACCGGCGGAUCGAGUGGUGGCCGAUAUUAUUGACUCUAAAGGAUCCGUAUCCGGCUUUGCAAUUCUUUUGGGAAAUCCCUCGGCUUAACCGUUGGUCGUCCGGGAAAUACUACAUUGCUCGGGACUGGGACAGGUAGGAGGUACUCAGGGGGUAGCGAGUGAAAUCCAGUAAUCAUUUGGGGACUUCCGGUGGCGAAUGCGUCCGACCACUACAGGUUCUAUAGACCAAGGAUUAAUGCUAUGGGCUCUGAAUCUGCAUUAUAUACCCGGGUAGUCCGACCCUGAUAUUAUGCUCAUCUGAUUUUGCAACUUGUUUGA
rnacentral:rRNA from 1 species